rnacentral:lncRNA from 1 species
AACAAUACCAACUUUUCUUUCUCAUGAUGGUUUCCAGAAGUGAACAAAGGACAUCCAGAACACACUGUCUUCUUUGGAAACAUGAUUCCAGAGUUACUAGAAGAUGAAAAGAUUCAUUUUCACUUUGGGGUAUAAAGCCAGUAAGACCAUGUCAUCUCCCAUUCAAAACACAAGCUUGGACUCAGGAUAUUUUGAAACAGUUCAUUAUCUAAUUGGCCCUACCUUAUUGCCUGGAUAAGAAGGACUAAGAGAAUAACAGAAUGUGGCCCAAGAAAGACUCACUGACCCAGUAAGUAAAGAAAUAUUUUUCUCUCUGUUUUCCUAUUUCAAAAUUCCCUUUUCUGCUCUCAAUUC